rnacentral:rRNA from 1 species
UACAGAGGCCUCGAGCGUUAGGCGGAAUCACUGGGCUUAAAGCGUGUGUAGGCGGACUUCUAAGUACCUUGUGAAAUCCCCACAGCUUAACUGUGGAACUGCUUGGUAUACUGGUUGUCUUGAGGUACCUAGGGGCGAGCGGAACAAGUGGUGGAGCGGUGAAAUGCGUAGAUAUCGACUUGGAACGCCAACGGUGAAAACAGCUCGCUGGGGGUAUCCUGACGCUGAG